rnacentral:rRNA from 1 species
UGGCUCAGGACGAACGCUGGCGGCGUGCUUAACACAUGCAAGUCGAACGGAAAGCGCUCUUCGGAGUGACUCGAGUGGCGAACGGGUGAGUAACACGUGGGUGAUCUGCCCUGCACUUUGGGAUAAGCCUGGGAAACUGGGUCUAAUACCGGAUAGGACUACAUGCUGCAUGGUGUGUGGUGGAAAGUUUUCGGACGGUGUGGGAUGGGCCCGCGGCCUAUCAGCUUGUUGGUGGGGUGAUGGCCUACCAAGGCUUCGACGGGUAGCCGGCCUGAGAGGGUGUCCGGCCACACUGGGACUGAGAUACGGCCCAGACUCCUACGGGAGGCAGCAGUGGGGAAUAUUGCACAAUGGGCGCAAGCCUGAUGCAGCGACGCCGCGUGGGGGAUGACGGCCUUCGGGUUGUAAACCUCUUUCACCAUCGACGAAGGCCCGGUUUUUGCUGGGUUGACGGUAGGUGGAGAAGAAGCACCGGCCAACUACGUGCCAGCAGCCGCGGUAAUACGUAGGGUGCGAGCGUUGUCCGGAAUUACUGGGCGUAAAGGGCUUGUAGGUAGUUUGUCGCGUUGUUCGUGAAAUGCCACAGCUUAACUGUGGGCGUGCGGGCGAUACGGGCAGACUGGAGUACUGCAGGGGAGACUGGAAUUCCUGGUGUAGCGGUGGAAUGCGCAGAUAUCAGGAGGAACACCGGUGGCGAAGGCGGGUCUCUGGGCAGUAACUGACGCUGAGGAGCGAAAGCGUGGGGAGCGAACAGGAUUAGAUACCCUGGUAGUCACGCCGUAAACGGUGGGUACUAGGUGUGGGUUUCAACCAACGAAAUCCGCGCCGUCGCUAACGCAUUAAGUGCCCCGCCUGGGGAGUACGGCCGCAAGGUUAAAACUCAAAGGAAUUGACGGA